GCCGAGGUGGCGGAAUGGUAUACGCGCAGGACUUAAAAUCCUGUGGCCCAAUAGGGCCGUGAGGGUUCGAGUCCCUCUCUCGGCA
rnacentral:tRNA from 1 species